rnacentral:rRNA from 2 species
UCUGAUGGAGCACGCCGCGUGAGUGAAGAAGGGUUUCGGCUCGUAAAACUCUGUUGUUAGAGAAGAACAGCCGUGAGAGCAACUGCUCACGGUAUGACGGUAUCUAACCAGAAAGUCACGGCUAACUACGUGCCAGCAGCCGCGGUAAUACGUAGGUGGCAAACGUUGUCCGGAUUUAUUGGGCGUAAAGGGAGCGCAGGCGGUUUAUUAAGUCUGAUGUGAAAGCCUUCGGCUUAACCGGAGAAGUGCAUCGGAAACUGAUAAACUUGAGUGCAGAAAAGGAUAGUGGAACUUCAUGUGUAGCGGUGAAAUGCGUAGAUAUAUGAAGGAACACCAGUGGCGAAGGCGGCUAUCUGGUCUGUAACUGACGCUGAGGCUCGAAAGCAUGGGUAGCAAACAGGAUUAGAUACCCUGGUAGUCCAUGCCGUAAACGAUGAAUGCUAGGUGUUGGAAGGUUUCCGCCUUUCAGUGCCGCAGCUAACGCAUUAAGCAUUCCGCCUGGGGAGUACGACCGCAAGGUUGAAACUCAAAGGAAUUGACGGGGACCCGCACAAGCGGUGGAGCAUGUGGUUUAAUUCGAUGCUACGCGAAGAACCUUACCAGGACUUGACAUCUUCUGCCAAUCUAAGAGAUUAGACGUUCCCUUCGGGGACAGAAUGACAGGUGGUGCAUGGUUGUCGUCAGCUCGUGUCGUGAGAUGUUGGGUUAAGUCCCGCAACGAGCGCAACCCUUGUCUUUAGUUGCCAGCAUUAAGUUGGGCACUCUAGAGAGACUGCCGGUGAUAAACCGGAGGAAGGUGGGGAUGACGUCAAAUCAUCAUGCCCCUUAUGUCCUGGGCUACACACGUGCUACAAUGGGGCGAUACAACG